UAUGAAUUGGAUCGAUACCAUGUACAUUUUACAUCUCUAGGCUGCGGGCUGCCGUGCGCCACCGCAGGAGAGAGCAGACGACUAUAUAAAAUGUCGAUAUAUAUUCUUACCUUAUCAGACACAGCUAACCCAGUAUCCAUAUUAUACUCUCGUCUAAAUAUGCGUGGCUUUGCACUGGAGGUGUUCUUCGGCGUGUGUAUGACAAGUUCUAACGAAUUUUGGCAUUCCAUUACAAAGAAACACAUGAGAAUCGGACCAUCUCCGAAAAUACGUGGUACUAUUGUAGCAUGGCCUAUUCUAACGCCCAGAAUCCAGCAGCCCAUGCACGAUCCUCUCCUCCAUGCUGAAGUUUCCGGUGCUGGUCAUCUCCGCGCUGGCCACCGGCGACUCCCCAAGAAGGCUCUCCAUCUCCUCCGGUCUAUGCUGCGCUGGCACCCACGGGUGCUGCUGCUGCAUGGCCUUGGCCAGCACGUCCAGCCUCUCGGCGACAUCUCUCAUGGUCGGCCGCCUCUCGCCGACCAUGUCCAGGCACUGCAGCGCGAGCUCCGCGACCUCCUCGAGCAGCGCGGCGUCGCUGUCGGCCUUGAUGCGGCCGUCGAUGAUAUCCCCGAGCCUGCGCUCCUUCAUGGCGUUCAGGAAGCGCAGCGAGAGGCUCCGCUCGCUCUCGGGGCCUUCCAG
rnacentral:misc_RNA from 1 species